UGAGCUCGAAAGUGCGUUGUAUAACAAUUACUUGUGGCGAGCGAGAAAUUAUGCAGGGUGUACACAAUUUGUUUUAAUCCCCAGACCGAAGAGGAAGAGAUUUAGUUUCUCCCCUAGCGGCCAUAUUGUAUGGACUAUUGGUGGAAAAAGCAGUAUUUCAGCAGCAAAAGUCAUUUUAAGAAGAACCUUGCCAAGACUUUGGUUGGCGGUGGGAUUCAGUUCAACAGCUAGCUGUCCAGCUGGUUGAGGGAUUUCACAGAUUGGGGAUUGUGUUUUUAAGAUAUAGAUUACUAUAUUUAUUUUUUAGCUUGUUUAUUAACAGUCGUCAAGAUGAAGGACCGAUUGGAACAACUUAAAGCAACAUGUGACAAUGACGAUGAGGAAGUGGAAAUUGCUAUUGACAAUGCAGCUUUUAUGGAUGACUUUUUCUCUCAGAUUGACGACAUCAGGAUCAGCAUUGAUAAGAUUGAUGAGAAUGUGUCUGAAGUCAAGAAGCUCUACUCGGUCAUCCUGUCUGCCCCCACAUCAGACCAGAAAACACAGGAUGACUUGGAGGCUGUCACCAACAACAUCAAGAAGAUGGCUAACAACGCCCGGAACAAACUCAAAACCAUCGAGAGGGAUCUGGCGUCUGAGGAAGAGGAAAGGAUUUCAGCCGACAUGCGGAUACGCAAAUCACAGCAUGCAGUGCUGUCCAGGAAGUUUGUGGAAGUGAUGACCAAGUACAAUGAGGCCCAGGUGGACUUCAGGGAGAGGAGUAAAGGACGCAUCCGGAGACAGCUAGAGAUCACAGGAAAAGCCACGACAGAUGAGGAGCUGGAAGAGAUGUUAGAGGGGGGAAACUCUGCUGUCUUCACUUCAGGGAUCAUGGACUCUGGGAUCUCGAAGCAAGCUCUCAGUGAGAUCGAGGCGCGACACAAAGACAUUGUGCGUCUGGAGAGCAGCAUCAAAGAGCUGCAUGACAUGUUCGUAGACAUCGCCAUGCUGGUGGAGAGCCAGGUACACGUCUCGUCCUCCGAUCCGUCUAUUCAGUCAUUAAUUGAUUCCUCCAUCCACUAUUUCAUAUCUGCAUUUUUAAACCCUACUGUCCUACUGUCUUUGUUUCUGUCUCGUUUGCAUCCUCGUUCCCUGUCUGUCAUCUGUUUUUCCUUUCUCUUUUCCAGUACCCUCUUCCCUUUCUCCUUCCGCAGUGCUUUUUUCCUCUCUCCAUGCUUUGGGACAGAAGUUCCCUGUUUGUGUGUCUAUCCAUCCAUCCAUCUGUCUCCCUCCCAUCACUCAUUCAUCUUCAGUAGGAGUCUACAUUCUCAGAGUCACAUUUGAUUCAACAUCUUAGUAGCCUACAGUGGUCUGUGAAUCACUAAAGCCAUGUUGGAAUCCACCCAACCCCAUACGGUAGUCACCACACAACUACAUAUAAUCUCUGUAACACCUGUAUCUCAUUGGUUGUCCUAUGCUUUCCGAGGGAAAGCCGUGUGCGAGGUAAGCGCCGUCUUUCUUUCUAAUAUAAUCCUCUUUGUGACGUUUUUGUCUCUGAUGUAUUCAGUUAGCGUGCAAAGAUUUAUUUGUUCUAUAUCUGUAUACUCACUGUGUGUGUGUUUCAGGGUGACAUAGUGAACAAUAUAGAGGUGCAAGUGUCUAAAGCUGUGGACCACAUAGUAGUGGCUAAGACUGAGACCAAGAAAGCCAUCCAGUACCAGAGCAAAGCACGCAAGAAAAGGGUGAUCAUAUUGGUGAUUCUGAUUAUCGUGCUCGCCAUAGUGGCUCUGAUUAUUGGGUUGUCGGUGGGAUUGAGUAAGAAGAAUUGAUGGAAGGUGUCUGAAUAAGAGUUGUGUAAAGGAAGACAAUCAUUAUAGCAGUGGUCUGUACUGUGCUUGCUGUCCUCAUCCUCGCCAUCAUCCUAUCACAGACAGUAGGGUAAUAGAGGGACCACGGCCUCAACCCACCUAACCAUCUUCAUAAUCACUCCAUUUUUGCCCUCCUCCAGCUGUAACGGCAAAGAGGGGGAUGUAGACUCAACCGAUCACUUCCAUUGCCCUGGGAUCCUCCCCCUCUCUUACUGUAUGUCUGACCAAUAGAAAAAGGCCCAGCUGAUGGGACUGGCUGGUGUCUUCCCUGAGGUGGCUGAGAGGAUGAGCAUCAGCUGGGAGAGAAACAAGAGGACGAAAACUGAGACUGUUUAUGAGCCUCUGAUAAUGCCAAUAAAAAGGGAAUCUUAAGUAAUGUAUAUCCUUACCCUCACACAACUAAAUGGACACCAUGCAACACUUCAAUGACAUUCUCUGAACUGCUUUCUAUGUAUCCAGUAAUGUGAUUGAUCUUGAUCCACACUGAAGGGAAUCCAUGACACGUCUCUCUCAUUACAAAAAACCAUUGACUUAAUGAAUCCCUGCCACCCCCCGUGCCUUAUUGUCUUGCCAUGAUGACCCUCCAAGCUGAAAGGUAGCCAGCCGCAGCCUCCUCCAGCCCACAGAGGAACGUUGACCUCACCAUAUCACAUGAUAUGUACUGAGGAUGGAAACCAGUGGAUUUCACUUCAAUCUAUGUUGAGCAAUGUGCAUGUGUUUGAUACCGCUUGAAUAGUGUUUUUAAAACUCCUAAAGCACACCUAACCUCUAAGCAUUUGGGUGAGAAAUGAGUCUAACAUCUGAUUUGCGCCUAAGCCUCUUUUUUUUGCUGUCUGUCCAAUUUUAAAUUCAUUUCCAUACCUCAGACACGGUGGCCAAUGGCAAGGCUUUAAAUGAGACAAGAUCUCAGUUACGUACUCGUGUCCCCUCUCCUUCUGAAAACCAAUUGGAGGAGAAGGUCUGUGGGAAGGGACCUCUGGCUUUCUCAUCCAAUGGGUUUUGAGGAGGGAGGGAGGACACGUGGAGUAUGUAAUUGAGGUCAUCCCUGAGGGUCUGGAUAUUUCAAGACCGUUUUAAAUGUAAUAGAACUUCACUGUAGUAUUAUGGUGGAUGCCAGAGAUUUUAAUGAUGGAAUAAAAUGUUUAAAAAAUA